rnacentral:sRNA from 1 species
CAUUUCUAAAUAAUUAAUGUCAGUAGCAUGACAUUGUAAAUAAGUUCAAAUACAUGAUUUAUUUAUUUUAAAAAAA